rnacentral:rRNA from 1 species
GAUGAACGCUAGCUACAGGCUUAACACAUGCAAGUCGAGGGGCAGCAUGACGAUAGCUUGCUAUUGUCGAUGGCGACCGGCGCACGGGUGAGUAACGCGUAUCCAACCUUCCCGUUGCUAGGGGAUAACCUUGCGAAAGUAAGACUAAUACCCUAUGAAAUUCUUCGCAGGCAUCUAAAGAGAAUGAAAGAUUUAUCGGCAACGGAUGGGGAUGCGUCUGAUUAGGUAGUCGGCGGGGUAACGGCCCACCGAGCCGACGAUCGGUAGGGGUUCUGAGAGGAAGGUCCCCCACAUUGGAACUGAGACACGGUCCAAACUCCUACGGGAGGCAGCAGUGAGGAAUAUUGGUCAAUGGGCGAGAGCCUGAACCAGCCAAGUAGCGUGCAGGAUGACGGCCCUAUGGGUUGUAAACUGCUUUUAUGCGGGGAUAAAGUGUACCAUGUAUGGUGUUUUGCAGGUACCGCAUGAAUAAGGACCGGCUAAUUCCGUGCCAGCAGCCG